rnacentral:rRNA from 1 species
UACAGAGGUCCCAAGCGUUGUUCGGAUUCACUGGGCGUAAAGGGUGCGUAGGCGGUUUGAUAAGUCUGAUGUGAAAUCCCGCAGCUUAACUGCGGAACUGCAUUGGAUACUGUUUGACUAGAGGAAUGGAGGGGAGACUGGAAUACUUGGUGUAGCAGUGAAAUGCGUAGAUAUCAAGUGGAACACCAGUGGCGAAGGCGAGUCUCUGGACAUUUCCUGACGCUGAGGCACGAAAGCCAGGGGAGCAAACGGG